rnacentral:misc_RNA from 1 species
AACGCAACUUGCGCCUCUCUGAGGCAUGUCUGUUUGAGUGCCGCAUACUCUCUGCAGCAAUGCGACAUGACUGUUUGUCUGUGUCCCUCGGGAUCAUGACUCGGUCUAAACAAAGCCAGAUAGUGGCCUGUGUGGCUAGCCUGAGUGCUGAGCAUUCUCUAGCUAGUUACACUGGCCAUAAACACUAUUCUAUCUUUGGCCUCAAAUCAGGCAAGACUACCCGCUGAACUUAA